GGAGCGACCUGGGAUCACAUG
rnacentral:miRNA from 1 species